CUCUGCUGCUGGUCAGAUGCUGCCUACCUGAAACUGCCAGAUGUGCUGAUCUCACUCAAUUCGUAACAGCUGAGGUUCUGGCUCUGCCUGCCUUUGCCUGAAGGUGUCUGUGAGAGGCACUCUUGACUUCUGUGAAUUUUGGAGAUGAUCAGAUCAAGACCUGCUGAAGUAAUCCAGACAGUGGAGGUCCUACUUCUUACUUUGUGCUGGUGCAGGUGUGACCAAACUCCAAUGAAUUAGGGCUAACAGUAGUAAAGCUUGAAAGAAGAAGAUUUUGACCAAGUGACUUGUCCAUUAAUUGCACUGUAAGUUUAAGGCCCAGGAGGUGAUGCUGGCUGCAUGCAGUUGCAAAAAUAUAGAGUGCUGAGGAGAAAGUUACACUGAGAGGCUGUAAGUCAUGAAUUCUGAAGUAUUUCCAUCACAAACCAUCGAUAUGUUCCUCAGUGGCUGUGCCAGAACAGGACAAACCCAAGGCAUGCAC